rnacentral:lncRNA from 1 species
GACUUAAAGAGAGAGAAAGGGAAGGAGAGGGGCGGUGACCGGAGUGUGACCAGAGUGUCACCACCACUCUCCACCACUCUAAUCAAGGUUUCUAGGGGCUUCAGUUCGGUUUGAUUCGUGAUGCAAGGUUCUAUUACCCAUUGUUGAUGGGUCAGAGUAGAUGGAAGUUGUCAUGAUAAUUGUUGUUCUUUGACGUGCAAAUGCCGAAGUGUCACCACUGGUGGAUUCAGGUCGUCUUGGCGGCGGCGAUUUUCAACGUAAAACCCUAGCCGAUGUUUUAGGCGAUGGCGGUCGGGGUUCAUGAGAGGUUUCAGUCUUUCACCUACCUGACGAUGAUGAUGGCUUGCUACCUGGUAUGGCAACUCCGGUUGCAACCGUAGCGCCACUGAGCGGGUUCAACGAUGAUGAUGAUCUUUUCGGAUCCGAGUCGAUUUGUGUUGCUAAUUUCGUUUUUUUUUUGUUUGCUUUAUGAGAUUGAUUAUACGAUUGUGUUUGUGGUGUUGGUCAUGUUGUUUCUCGCUGUUGUUUCGGCCGUGAUAUUUGUGGUUGUGCUGUUGAUAGUAAUAAUGAAAAGACAAACUUUUUUAUCUUCAUGGUUAAAAGUACACACUGUAUGUUU